GAAGAGAUUAAAGCAUGUCUACGCUGUCAUCAGCUCCGCGCAUCUUUUUCCAACUCCCCAAACCCUGUGGUCCGGUCCGCAGCUGUUCCCCUUCUGCAUACACCUGGCUUAGUCAGGCAGGAUUCCAAAGUGAGGGGACCCACAGCUCCUGAGACUGACGGGACGGACACGUGGCCACCCACUUGUAUGUGGUUCCCGGUGGCGGAUGUCCUGUUGAAUUGGGCCCCUGCGGAAGGGAGGGAGCCGUGGAUGGUACCCCCGUCAGCAUCCAGCCGGCUCUGCAUAGCCUUGGGGAGCAGGUGCUGGGACGGCUGGGUGGGCUGUUUUGGACAGCCCUACGUCGCAACACGGAGUCUGCCCUGCGGGAUGCGGACCGCAUACUGGAGCUGCGAGCCAAGGAGGCCGCCGUGGAAGCGCGGGUGCCGCAGUUAGCACAGGAGUUGGAAAUGGCGCCUCGCAGCCGGACGGCGGAGGACGCUCAGGACAGGACGUGGAGGAAGCACGCCCUCUCCAUGCUCAGGCAGUAAUCUAGCAAAAGGUAAAGCACGAGCAGCCCCUGGGCCCAGGAGGUGUCGCGCAAGGAGCCCCAGUCGUGACAAAGUUCACGGCGUAUACCUUAUACGCCAACGGACCUGCGGGACUAGUACCGGCCUGGCUCCUGCGGCUAUGGGAUGAGGGGGCGGAUGGUGUCAUCUGUGCCCCAGAUGAGAUGGAGAAGCUGUCCUCCAUCACGUUGCAUCCUUCCCUUCGGCAGCAGCUACAGAUUAGCCGCCGGCUAGCCUAAGGGCAGGGGAAUCGCUCCAAGAUGGAGUGGGUGACGGCUGUCGCCUGGACAGGUGUGGCAUAACGCCUGGGAGCUUCCAGAGACUGUAAGUUGGUGGCAGACCUAUGGGAACUGGUCCAAGUUAUCCGCGAAUUGGGAAUGCGGCCCCGUCUAAUUCUUUUGGGUCCUUGGUGACGAUUUUGGCACCUUAUGUGGGGUGCCGGAUACAUGAAAUAACUACUGUCAUGGCCACUUUGGGGAACGCAGAAGGCCGGAGGAGGGAAAGAACCCUGCGUGUCGCACGGCAGAUGGCGCCCAAGCCUAAGCGAGUCACCCACAUGCAGAUGUGGAUAGAUCUGCUAGCCGCAGGCACCGGUCAGGCGAUAACAGACCGCAAACGAAGGCUGUCUUGGUGGUGCUGUGGCGCCAGUUGAAGUCUGAGCAACAGUCCCAAAAGAUGGCAGGAGUGAGGAAGAGUCCUGGCAAGAGUCGCCAGGUAAGGCUCCAGGACUUCAUGCAGUCCUCAGGAGGAGAGCCUGCGGACCUCUUUGACUAGGGGGAAGGCCCAGGUGCCCGGCUUGGGGGGAUCCCCGGAGGACUGGAGGCCAUUUGUGGAACUUGAGAUUUACUGGUCCCCCAACAAUGUACAGCGUCUGCUGACAUUUGUAAACACUGGAGCCAAUUGCAGUUUGAUUACGGCAACCCGGAGAAGUUUCCAGGGAAGCCGGCAUAUAUUGAUGGAUACGGGGGCCAUAUGGUGAAGGUGAAACUGGUGUCCUUGCCCCUUGGUGUUUGUCGCCUGCUGCCCCGGGUGUAUACAGCGUAUGUGUCCUCUAUCCCCAAGUAUGUUCUGGGGGUGGAUGUCUUGCAAGGACUGCACCUACAGGCCACAAUAAGCGAAUUCCGGUUGCGCGUGGUUAAGACUGUUGUCUGGGGCAUACGCACCAUCCGCCACAAGUGUUGCUGGUGCCGUGGGGUGUGGUGGCCAGCCGACAGUAUCGCCUUCCAGGUGGACAUGAGGAGAUCACACAGACCAUUGACAAACUAGAAGAGGCUGGGGUCGUGCGACCCACCCACAGUCCCUGUAACUCUCUGAUUUGGCCCGUGAGGAAGCCCCGCAUAUGACUGUGGACUGUGGUGGCAGACCUAUGGGAACUGGUUAUCUGCGAAUUGUUAUCCGCGAAUUGGGAAUGCGGCCCCGUCUAAUUCUUUUGGGUCCUUGGUGACGAUUUUGGCACCUUAUGUGGGGUGCCGGAUACAUGAAAUAACUAGGUGACUCCUGCGUUGCAUGUUGCUUGUGCCCUCCGUGAGUGAUAUAAUGGAUCAACUGACAGUCCGGCUGGGAUAGUACCACUGUGCUGUGGACCUUGCUAUUGCCUUCUUUUCUAUUGACAUUGCCACCGAGAGCCAAGAACAGUUUGCUUUCACCUGGGAUGGCAGACAAUGGACUUUCUGUGUGUUGCUGCAAGGAUACCUGCACAGCCCCGCUAUUUGUCGUGGGCUCAUUGCUCCGGACUUGGCUGCCUGAGCUCACAGUGAUGCAGAGCUUGUGUUUCAUUACAUUGACGAUGUUAUGUUAACCUCUGACUCUCUUGCAGAUCUAGAGCAGGCUGUUGACUCCCUGUGGAGACAUCUGGCAACAUGUGGUUGGACCAUCAACGAUGCCAAAGUCCAGGGACUUGGCUUAUCUGUCAAGUUCUUGGGGAUUGUCUGGUCAGGACCCUUGAGAGAACACAGCACACCAGGGAGACCACAGCGAUACUAUGAGGAGGAUAAAAUAUCAAGAGACUGAAGUACGCUCCUUAGCCAGGUCCUCCAUGAUCCAGACCGGUUGGUAUCAAAUAAAUUAAAGAAUCUACCUGAAGAGGCAUCAGCCUGUUUUUGCCAGGUGGCUUGUUUGUUAGUUUCUUCUAUCUAGUGUAGCACCAGAGGGGUUGAUCUAGGUACAGCAAGAGCUGUAUGCUCUGGCACAGACUCCUCUUUGUUUAGCCAAUAAGUAAGCGAAAGCAAUUCUAUUAUCUGAAACCACCUUAGCAAGAAAGUCUAAGGACUUUUGCUGUGCAGUUAUGGCCUUGGUGGUAAAUUCAGUGAUAGCUGCCAGAGUUAAGAAGCAUCGUUUCCUCAUGCACUAACAAAGAGAAAAAGCAAGUAGCAAGAGGGCAAAAGGAGUAAGAGUUUCAUACUGGAGGUGAAGGUCCUGAUCCGUGAUCUUGGGAGAGCUGUCCACCUCAAGAUGUCGUCAGCUUCUGGGGAGGAACCUCUCUAGUCGAUUUUAAUUUUAGAUCUCCAGCUGCUAUGCAGUUCCAAGAGGCUGCAGGAACCCUUUUUAACUGUGAGAUGUGGCCUCAAGUUUCAAGGCCCUGAAGUUUGGCUAUUAUCUGGGUAGUGAGGAGGACCUGAUAUGGUCUCUUUCAGUGAGGUUCAAGGGCAGUCUUUCUUCUUUGUGAUUCCACGUCAGAAGAGUGGGAGAAAGUUGGAAACGUGAGUUUGGAGAGUUGUAGCUAGAUCUUUAGGGAAGCCAGAAAAAUUCAGGAUCUAGUCGAGUUUACAGGUGUAUAACAAAACCUCAAAGACAAUGAACAGAACUAGAAUCUGAUAUUCACAAGAGUGUGUUACAGUUUUUUACUAAAACAUAAUUUUUCUCUUUAUAAUCACCCCUAUUUUUAGCAAAGAUAACCAUAGUAAGACUAAUUUGUUUGCAAAAUAAGUCUAGUCUUAUUAAACGCAGCCUGAUUAUUCACAUAAGUGCAACAAAAAUAGUGACUGAGCCAGCCCUGAUGGCCUAGCAGUUACAAGUUCUGUGUGCUUUGCUUUGGCAGCCCAGGUUGGGUUCCCAGGCAUGGAACCACACCACUCAGCUGUCAGUACCAUGCUGUGGCAGUGGCUCACAUAGAAGAACCAGAAGAAGUUACAACUAUACACAACUGUGAACUGGGGCUUUGGAGGGGGUAAAAAAAAAAAAACAAAAAAACAAGGAGGAAGACUGGCAACAGUUGUUAGCUUAGGACAAAACAAGAAGAGUGAUUGACCACAUAGGCCCUUUUUUUUUUUUUUGAGGAAGAUUGGCCCUGAGCUAACAUCUGCACCAGUCUUUCUUUAUUUUAUGUGGGAUGCCGCCAUAGCAUAGUUUGACUAGUGGUGCUAGGUCCAUGCCUGGGAUCUGAACCUGCAAACCCCAGGCCACUGAGGUGGAGUGCGUGAACUUAACCGCUACGCCACUGGGCCGGCCCCCACACAGUCUUUUUAAAAGUCUGCCUUGCUGCCUCUUGAAGCCAGGAAGUGAAACCAAGGACUUGCCAGACAUUUCCUGGAAUACCUAUAUAUUUGGGUGAAUUUUUAUUUUCUUGAGGUCCCUCAAAUAUUCUCAUGUUCCCCAGGCUACCAGGAAGUGACCUUUCUUACUCAACCGGUAAGGCUAGGAACCCUGUAGGUAACACAACAGGAGGUUUUUCCAAGGAGCUUUAUUAUCUCCAUAUUAGCUCCAUCGACUAACCUUGGUUUCUGAAAACUGGUCAUAUCUGAUUUUAUGCACAUCAUUUUUAAAUGUGACAUUUCAGUCAAAGCCUUGGUAAUAUAACCAAUGUUUCCAAUUGUAUUCUGUUACAAGGAGAAUAGAUUUUAUUGUAUCUAUGCAAAUAACUAUAUUGCCAUGAAAAUAAAAAUACUUAAUAAGAAUUUCAGGGGUCGGCCCCGUGGCCGAGUGGUUAAGUUCGCUCGCUCUGCUUCAGCAGCCCAGGGUUUCCCCGGUUUGGAUCCUGGGCACAGACAUAGCACUGCUCAUCAAGCCAUGUUGAGGCGGCAUCCCAUAUGCCACAACUAGAAGGACCCACAACUAAAAAUUUGCAACCAUGUAACAGGGGGCUUUGGGGGGAAAAAGGAAAAAUAAAAUCUUUAAAAAAAAAAAUCAAAAAAUAAUAAAACAAUUUCAUAAUUCUGGAGGGAUCAGGUAAGGAGAAAAAGAUAAAUGUUUUAAUUCUGUUUACAAAGGUAUAAUUUACCAAAUUGCUGUGAGUUAUAGAUAACAAGAGAAAAAGAUUUCCUUAAAUCUGGAAAACAAAAGAUCAAAGAACCAGCAAUGUUUCAAACAAAAAGUCAUAAAAAUUAUAACUAUCCUUAUCAGUUCAUUUAAUCCCAUGUUAUUAAUUCCUGUUCUCCUUGAAUCCAAUUUUUUCAUCAGAGUUCUGGAAAUUCCUACUCAGUUUAGUGGUACAAUCUUAAAAAGUUAUCAGGAACCUGUAUUCUACAGUACUUGUCAGAGUCUUCAUUAUAAAUCUCUCUGAAGAUGGAGCACUUUUACAGAAGCAUCAGAGUAAAACAAUAACUGUCUAUAAAUGACAAAAAAAGACUUUAAAAUGGCCAUCGUUAAAGAUCGGAUGAGGGGCUGGCUCUGUGGCCAAGUGGUUAAGUUCCGGCACUCCACUUCAGUGGCCCGGGGUUCGCUGGUUCGGAGCCCAGGUGCAGACCUACACGCCCUCAUCAAGCCAUGCUGUGGCAGCCUCCCACAUGGAGGAAAGAGAGUGACCUGCAACUAGGAUAUACAGCUAUGCACUGGGGCUUUGGGGAGAAAAAAAAAGGGAGAUUGGCAACAGCUGUUAGCUCAGGACCAAAGUUCCUCAUCAAAAAAAAAAUACAUCGGAUGAGUUCAUUUGAUAAGGAAAUUUAGUUAUUUCGGUGUCAUACAACAAUUUAAGAUAAUAAUUGAACAAUGAAGGUAUUGACAAAUUUCUGUGAACUUCAAAUCAUUCUUGGAAUGCCUAUAUUAGUAAUAUAUAUCUAUACACAUGUAACCUAAGAAGGUUUAUUAUCACUUUUUAUUUGACAAUGCUUCUUGUGUAAUUUAACAUGCAAAAAAACCUAAUUAGUUUAAUAUCUUUCUUUCACAAGGUAAGAGACAAAUGUUUUGAGCUUUUUCCAGGGGCCCUUUGGGAAAUCUCAAAGUUAAUCUGAGAUCAAAAAGACUCCAUUUAAGGGCCAGCCUGGUGGCACAGUGGUUGGGUUCACGCAUUCCGCUUCAGCAGCCCAGGGUUCGCCGGUUCAGAUCCCAGGCAUGGACCCACACGCUGCCUAUCAAGCCAUGCUGUGGUAGGCGUCCUACAUGUAAACUAGAGGAAGAUGAGCACAGAUGUUAGCUCAGGGCCAGUCUUCCUCAGCAAAAAGAGGAGGAUUGGCAGCAGAUGUUAGCUCAGGGCUGAUCUUCCUCAAAAAAAAAAAAAGACUCCAUUUAAAAUUUGAUUUGGGGAAGUUGUCAAAAAUGUUAAAAGUUUUGAACAUUAAAUUAAAUAAAUUAUGUAUUUAUGUAUACAUAUAUAAUAUUUUAAUAUAAAUAUAUAAUAGAUAAAUUGUGUAUAUGUAUAUAUAAUAUAUAACUAAUAAAAACAAAGUUCCAUAGCUUGAUCCAACUGGAAAUCC
rnacentral:lncRNA from 1 species